rnacentral:rRNA from 1 species
CCUACGGGCGGCAGCAGUAGGGAAUAUUGCUCAAUGGGGGAAACCCUGAAGCAGCAACGCCGCGUGGAGGAUGAAGGUUUUCGGAUUGUAAACUCCUUUUGUUAGAGAAGAUAAUGACGGUAUCUAACGAAUAAGCACCGGCUAACUCCGUGCCAGCAGCCGCGGUAAUACGGAGGGUGCAAGCGUUACUCGGAAUCACUGGGCGUAAAGAGCGCGUAGGCGGGUUAGCAAGUCAGAUGUGAAAUCCUAUGGCUUAACCAUAGAAUUGCAUUUGAAACUGUUAUUCUAGAGUAUGGGAGAGGUAGGUAGAAUUCUUGGUGUAGCGGUAAAAUGCGUAGAGAUGAAGAGGAAUACUCAUUGCGAAGGCGACCUGCUAGAACAUAACUGACGCUGAUGUGCGAAAGCGUGGGGAGCAAACAGGAUUAGAUACCCCUGUAGUC